rnacentral:rRNA from 1 species
UGGAAACUNUCUGACUUGAGUGCAGAAGGGGAGAGUGGAAUUCCAUGUGUAGCGGUGAAAUGCGUAGAUAUAUGGAGGAACACCAGUGGCGAAAGCGGCUCUCUGGUCUGUCACUGACGCUGAGGCUCGAAAGCGUGGGUAGCGAACAGGAUUAGAUACCCUGGUAGUNCACGCCGUAAACGAUGAGUGCUAGGUGUUAGGCCCUUUCCAGGGCUUAGUGCCGGAGCUAACGCAAUAAGCACUCCGCCUGGGGAGUACGACCGCAAGGUUGAAACUCAAAGGAAUUGACGGGGGCCCGCACAAGCGGUGGAGCAUGUGGUUUAAUUCGAAGCAACGCGAAGAACCUUACCAGGUCUUGACAUCCCGAUGCUAUUCUUAGAGAUAGGAAGUUACUUCGGUACAUCGGAGACAGGUGGUGCAUGGUUGUCGUCAGCUCGUGUCGUGAGAUGUUGGGUUAAGUCCCGCAACGAGCGCAACCCUUAUUGUUAGUUGCCAUCAUUAAGUUGGGCACUCUAGCGAGACUGCCGGUAAUAAACCGGAGGAAGGUGGGGAUGACGUCAAAUCAUCAUGCCCCUUAUGACCUGGGCUACACACGUGCUGCAAUGGUCGGUACAACGAGUUGCGAGCCGGUGACGGCAAGCUAAUCUCUGAAAGCCGAUCUCAGUUCGGAUUGGAGGCUGCAACUCGCCUCCAUGAAGUCGGAAUCGCUAGUAAUCGCGGAUCAGCACGCCGCGGUGAAUACGUUCCCGGGCCUUGUACACACCGCCCGUCACACCACGAGAGUUUGUAACACCCGAAGUCGGUGAGGUAACCUUUUAGGGGCCAGCCGCCU